UGAGUACAGGACCACCUGAUGACAUUUCCACACCAGGUGAAAUGUGGCUGUUCUCAACGGUGCAUCAUCUCCUCACUGGGUGAGAUUCGGAUGCGUCAGCCAGCAGAUCUCCACAGAUGGUUCAUCGUAGCAAGAUGUCACUGAGAGUCAUUAGGCUCGCUGCUUACAGUCAGGGUUGCCUAGGGAGAGUCCCACCGAGACCUCCGGAGUUACUGCGGCCUUCCCCCAGAAAGCAGAAAAGGCGGAGGAGUACGUAAAAAAAGUUGCAGUUGGCGAGCAUCAGACAGUAUUUGGCAAAGCAGUUGCUGGUCUGCAGCUACCUGUUAGCUCUCCGUGGAUGGGUGCACUAACUUUUCGUGCGUCUCCUGGAGUCUUUCUCCUUCUCUCUCUCUCUCUCUCUCUCUCUCUCUCUCUUUCUCAUAAAUGUACAAAAAGAUUUAAUUUUCAGGCUUCAAGACUCAACUGGAAUCACUGACUAGUUGUUAUUCCAGUUGAGUCCCCAGUGUGCACAUUGCUGUCUGUCUGUCCGUGUGGCGACAUGUUUUUUAAAAGGUUUUAAUCUCUUCCUUAUCCACGGACGACGCCAUGAGGCCACAGUGAGGCCAUGGACAUGGGAAAGGCUUUUCUCCACCUUUCCUUUUUCUCGAAUAAGGAAACAUUAGCUCGGCUAGCUGGCUAACAUCACUUCUGCGGGGAGCUUGGAUAACGACAUGUCCUUCAACUUGUGUCGAAGCCGCGUAGCUGGGAUUGGAACGUCACUCGCACAGCGCAGGAGAAAAGCUGUGGGCAGCGACGGAUGCGUUCCUGGACAAGCAGAAGACGGAGAAGGACCGUGCACGUCAGGUCUGAACCAGCACGGCGUCAUCUCCAAGUACACCGCCACGGCCAAGAGGCAGAUCAACAAGCUCAAAGGCCAUUGGAGAACUUUUAAGAGGCCAAAAUUGGUCUGACUUUAUUUUGUAAGAUUUUCUUUCUUUUUAAUUCAAAGCUAAGUCCAGAAAGCUUUCGAAUCAUAUGUUUCUGUUUAGGAGUGGUUUUUUUUUUUUUUUUUUUUUUUAAAAACAAGCUGUAAAACAAAAUUGGGCCCAAGGAAAAGCAGGAGAUCUCACUGCAAUGAUGAAAACGUGUCGGAAGUUUGCAAAGAGCUUUUUUGUAAAUGGUUCAUUUUAUUAUUUUUGUUUUAUUUUCUCCACACAUGUCCCACGUUCAGGUUCACUAUUCAAUUGAUUUGGUCUAACGCUAGAAUGAAACACUGGAAGGGUUUCAUGUCUAUAAAGCUGAAAGUUGUGUUUUUUAAAUGUGAUCAUUUGGAUCUUCACAUUUUGAUUCUUGGAGAUUUGCAACCAUGACACAUUUUCCUUCAGAGAAGCUUUUGUUUUUGUUUUUUUCUGAUAGAUUGUGGCAUUAUUUAUUA